CCGACCCUGGGCCCGCCCCGACGCCCGCCCCUGCAGCCCUGGCCCUGUGCCUGCUCCCGCCUCCCCCGCUGCUGGGGUCUCCUUGGCACUCGCUGCUCCAGACUCGGGGUGAAGCUCUUGCCUGCGGGAGCCCCGUUUCUUCAGGAACCACCCGGAGCAAGAGGGAGGUUCUUUCACCCAACAGUACAUGGGCGAGGCGAUCCACAGGCUUGGCUGUGGCCAGAGGCUGGUGUUCUCACUGAGUAGAGUAUUCUACUCAAUGCCAAGCCCCAGAGCCACGGGAGGACGGCAGGGACUUCUGUCAGGAGUGAGGGGAGCCUCACAUCCGUGCUUCCCAGCACCACUUCAUCCUCGCCCUUAAGGCUUUGGCGCCAUCUGUCCCCCAUCUGUCCCGCACCGCCAGUCCCGCCCU